GAAACUUAUACGCAGGAGGAGUUCGAGGAACUAUGCUUCAAAUUCGGCAUCGAGCUCGAUGAUGUUACUACGGAGAAAGCC